CAGCACCCAGGGGCAGUGACAGCCUCCUCCCUGCCCGUGACCAGGUGAGACCUGGGACCUGCCCCCCCGAUCCAGUCCAAUGUGCCCACUCAGUAUCGGCCCAUUGCUCCAGUGACCCUGAGUGCCCGGGAGAGCAGAAGUGCUGCUAUAUCGCAUGCAGAUUCCGCUGCGUUGACCCAGCAGAAGAGAAGGCCGGGUAUUGCCCGGUCCUCAAGCCCGCAGGCCUGAACCUCAGUAAGAGCUGCCACCCCUGCCUGGUGAACAGAUCCUGCUCCACCUGUUUUCGGGAUGCGGAUUGCCCAGGCCCGGAGAAGUGCUGCCCAGGCCGGUGCGGAACCCGCUGCUGGGAGCCUGUCUCUGGUAAGAGAACAUAUGACCGGCCAUACAGGGUCAGCCCAGUGGUCCCGCUAGCCCCGUACCCUGUC